rnacentral:rRNA from 1 species
GUGAGGAAUAUUGCGCAAUGGAGGCAACUCUGACGCAGCCAUGCCGCGUGCAGGAAGAAGGCGCUACGCGUUGUAAACUGCUUUUAACCGGGAAGAAACCCCAGGACGUGUCCUGGGUUGACGGUACCGGAGGAAUAAGCACCGGCUAACUUCGUGCCAGCAGCCGCGGUAAUACGAAGGGUGCAAGCGUUAUCCGGAUUCAUUGGGUUUAAAGGGUGCGUAGGCGGAGCGUUAAGUCAGUGGUGAAAUCCUGCUGCUUAACUGUAGACUUGCCAUUGAUACUGGCGCUCUUGAGUGCGCUUGAAGUGGGCGGAAUGUGCCGUGUAGCGGUGAAAUGCUUAGAUAUGGCACAGAACACCAAUUGCGAAGGCAGCUCACUAAGGCGAUACUGACGCUGAGGCACGAAAGCGUGGGGAUCGAACAGGAUUAGAAACCCUUGUAGUCC